ACUCAAAUGAAUUGACGGGGGCCCGCACAAGCGGCGGAGCAUGCGGAUUAAUUCGAUGCAACGCGAAGAACCUUACCUGGGUUUGACAUGUGCACUAAAGCUGCAGAGAUGUGGUGUCCUUUUAGGGGUGUUCACAGGUGGUGCAUGGCUGUCGUCAGCUCGUGUCGUGAGAUGUUGGGUUAAGUCCCGCAACGAGCGCAACCCUCGUUCCAUGUUGCCAGCGCGUUAUGGCGGGGACUCAUGGGAGACUGCCGGGGUCAACUCGGAGGAAGGUGGGGAUGACGUCAAGUCAUCAUGCCCCUUAUGUCCAGGGCUUCACGCAUGCUACAAUGGCCGGUACAAUGGGUAGCGAUAUCGUGAGGUGGAGCGAAUCCCAUAAAGCCGGUCUCAGUUCGGAUCGCAGUCUGCAACUCGACUGCGUGAAGUCGGAGUCGCUAGUAAUCGCAGAUCAGCAACGCUGCGGUGAAUACGUUCCCGGGCCUUGUACACACCGCCCGU
rnacentral:rRNA from 1 species